rnacentral:rRNA from 1 species
CACAAGCGGUGGAGCAUGUGGUUUAAUUCGUUGCUACACGAAGAACCUUACCUGGGUUUGACAUAUAGGUUGUAGGGAACUGAAAGGGACCGACCCUUCGGGGAGCCUAUACAGGUGUUGCAUGGCUGUCGUCAGCUCGUGUCGUGAGAUGUUCGGUUAAGUCCGCUAACGAGCGCAACCCUCGUCGUAUGUUAUAUGUGUCAUACGAGACUGCCGGUAAAAGCCGGAGGAAGGUGAGGAUGAUGUCAAGUCAGCAUGACCUUUAUAUCCAGGGCUACACACACGCUACAAUGGUCUGUACAAUGGGUAGCCAAGCCGCGAGGCGGAGCCAAUCCUGAAAGCAGGCCUCAGUUCAGAUUGCAGUCUGCAACUCGACUGCAUGAAGCCGGAGUUGCUAGUAACCGCAGGUCAGCAAUACUGCGGUGAAUACGUUCCCGGGUCUU